rnacentral:rRNA from 1 species
CCUACGGGUGGCUGCAGUGGGGAAUAUUGCGCAAUGGGCGAAAGCCUGACGCAGCGACGCCGCGUGAGGGAUGAAGGUCUUCUGAUCGUAAACCUCUGUCAGCAGGGAAGAACGGUCACUGUGCUAAUCAGCAGUGAAUUGACGGUACCUGCAAAGGAAGCACCGGCUAACUCCGUGCCAGCAGCCGCGGUAAUAUGGAGGGUGCGAGCGUUAAUCGGAAUUACUGGGCGUAAAGCGCUCGUAGGCGGUAUGUCAAGUCAAGGGUGAAAUCCCCGCGCUCAACGUGGGAACUGCCUUUGAAACUGGCAAACUGGAGUGUGUGAGAGGAUAGUGGAAUUCCAGGUGUAGGAGUGAAAUCCGUAGAUAUACGGAGGAACACCAGUGGCGAAGGCGGAUUGCUGGACAGUAACUGACGCUGAGGCGCGAAAGCGUGGGGAGCAAACAGGAUUAGAUACCCUAGUAGUC